CAAGUCGAACGGGAAACAUUUCAUUGAAGCUUCGGCGGAUUUGGUCUGUUUCUAGUGGCGGACGGGUGAGUAACGCGUGGGUAACCUGCCUUAUACUGGGGGAUAACAGCCAGAAAUGGCUGCUAAUACCGCAUAAGCGCACAGGUCCGCAUGGUCCGGUGUGAAAAACUCCGGUGGUAUAAGAUGGACCCGCGUUGGAUUAGCUGGUUGGCAGGGCAAGCGGCCUACCAAGGCGACGAUCCAUAGCCGGCCUGAGAGGGUGAACGGCCACAUUGGGACUGAGACACGGCCCAGACUCCUACGGGAGGCAGCAGUGGGGAAUAUUGCACAAUGGGGGAAACCCUGAUGCAGCGACGCCGCGUGAAGGAAGAAGUAUCUCGGUAUGUAAACUUCUAUCGGCAGGGAAGAUAAUGACGGUACCUGACUAAGAAGCCCCGGCUAACUACGUGCCAGCAGCCGCGGUAAUACGUAGGGGGCAAGCGUUAUCCGGAUUUACUGGGUGUAAAGUGGAGCGUAGACGGCGCAGCAAGUCUGAUGUGAAAGGCAGGGGCUUAACCCCUGGACUGCAUUGGAAACUGUUGAGCUUGAGUGCCGGAGGGGUAAGCGGAAUUCCUAGUGUAGCGGUGAAUGCGUAGAUAUUAG
rnacentral:rRNA from 1 species